GUGACGGAGACAGUGAUGGAGACAGUGACGGUGAUAGUGACGGAGACAGUGAGGGAGACAGUGACGGAGACAGUGACGGAGACAGUGAUGGAGACAGUGACGGAGACAGUGAUGGACAGACGCAGCUCAGAUUAAAACGGUUUGAAAUCAGAGCCUGGGGUCAGGGAGGGGCAGGAGUUAAGGUGUGUGUGUGUGUGCGUCUUCACGUCGUCCUCCCACUCUUAUUGGACGGUUAGUGGGCUGUGUGUGUGUGUGUGUGUGUUUUCUUCUUUUAUUAAACUUCUUCAGAUAUUAUCCUGGUUUGUAAGGCAGAGAGGAGAGACCGACAGCAGACGCUCAGUUAUUAGAGUGAUGUCAGGUGGAACUGUGUGAGUGUGAGUGAGAGUGUGUGUGUGUGUGUGUGUGUGAGUGUGUGUGUGAGUGUGUCAGGUAUGGAGCUGAAUACAGUUGAAAUGCUGCUGACCUUCAGGAGCAGCUAAAUGACAGGUGGGAUCAGAGCUCCUUUGGUUUGUUAAUGAAGCCGCUGACAUUUGAAGAUCAGCGUCGGCAUGAAGACCACCAGACGUCAGUGAGGUCAAAGGUCGUGGGUCAAAGGUCGAGGGUCGAGGGUCCAGGGUCGAGGACACCAGGUCCAUCAGCGUCUGACUAACAGACGUUGUGAGUCUGUAAAGGUCGUCCAACACCUCCUCCUGUGGGUCAGUCCCUGUAGGUGGACUGACCUACAUGGACCGCGGUCCAGCCUGUCUUCAGAGACCUGUCCAAAGGUCCUGUCCGUCCCUCCUGUCCUGCACCAGUGCUCCUUCAGGAGCUCCUCUCUGGAGCCGGACUCUUAACC